rnacentral:rRNA from 1 species
CUACGGGUUGUCCAGUGAGGAAUAUUGCACAAUGGGGGAAACCCUGAUGCAGCAACGCCGCGUGGAGGAUGACGCAUUUCGGUGUGUAAACUCCUUUUAUCAGAGAAGAAAAUGACGGUAUCUGAUGAAUAAGCUCCGGCUAACUCCGUGCCAGCAGCCGCGGUAAUACGGAGGGAGCAAGCGUUAUUCGGAAUCACUGGGCGUAAAGGACGCGUAGGCGGGUUUUUAAGUCAGGUGUGAAAUCCUAUGGCUCAACCAUAGAUCUGCACUUGAAACUGGGGACCUAGAGUAUGGAAGGGGCAGGUGGAAUUAGUGGUGUAGGGGUAAAAUCCGUAGAUAUCACUAGGAAUACCGAAAGCGAAGGCGACCUGCUGGGACAUUACUGACGCUGAGGCGUGAAAGCGUGGGGAGCAAACAGGAUUAGAUACCCUCGUAGUC